GGGUGGUAAUGCCGAAUGUUCCACAUGCUCGCAUGGGUGUGUGGGAAAACGUUUUAGUGCUAUGCGAUGGGAUCGCGUCCUAUCAGCUUGUUGGUGGGGUAGUGGCCUACCAAGGCUUCGACGGGUAGCCGGCCUGAGAGGGCGACCGGCCACAUUGGGACUGAGAUACGGCCCAGACUCCUACGGGAGGCAGCAGUGGGGAAUAUUGCACAAUGGGGGGAACCCUGAUGCAGCGACGCCGCGUGCGGGAUGACGGCCUUCGGGUUGUAAACCGCUUUUAUUGGGGAGCAAGCGUGAGUGAGUGUACCUUUUGAAUAAGCACCGGCUAACUACGUGCCAGCAGCCGCGGUAAUACGUAGGGUGCAAGCGUUGUCCGGAAUUAUUGGGCGUAAAGAGCUCGUAGGCGGUUUGUCGCGUCUGGUGUGAAAGUCCAUCGCUUAACGGUGGAUUGGCGCUGGGUACGGGCAGGCUAGAGUGUAGUAGGGGAGACUGGAAUUCUCGGUGUAACGGUGGAAUGUGUAGAUAUCGGGAAAGAACACCA
rnacentral:rRNA from 1 species